rnacentral:rRNA from 1 species
CCUACGGGAGGCAGCAGUAGGGAAUCUUCCACAAUGGGCGAAAGCCUGAUGGAGCAACGCCGCGUGGGUGAAGAAGGUCUUCGGAUCGUAAAACCCUGUUGUUAGAGAAGAAAGUGCGUGAGAGUAACUGUUCACGUUUCGACGGUAUCUAACCAGAAAGCCACGGCUAACUACGUGCCAGCAGCCGCGGUAAUACGUAGGGGGCAAGCGUUAUCCGGAUUUAUUGGGCGUAAAGGGAACGCAGGCGGGCUUGUAAGUCUGAUGUGAAAGCCUUGGGCUUAACCGGAGUAGUGCAUUGGAUACUGGGAGACUUGAGUGCAGAAGAGGAGAGUGGAACUCCAUGUGUAGCGGUGAAAUGCGUAGAGAUAUGGAAGAACACCAGUGGCGAAAGCGGCUCGCUGGGCUGUGACUGACGCUGAGGUUCGAAAGCGUGGGUAGCAAACAGGAUUAGAUACCCCAGUAGUC